ACUCCUGCGGGAGGCAGCAGUGGGGAAUAUUGCACAAUGGGCGCAAGCCUGAUGCAGCCAUGCCGCGUGUAUGAAGAAGGCCUUCGGGUUGUAAAGUACUUUCAGCGGGGAGGAAGGCGAUAAGGUUAAUAACCUUGUUGAUUGACGUUACCCGCAGAAGAAGCACCGGCUAACUCCGUGCCAGCAGCCGCGGUAAUACGGAGGGUGCAAGCGUUAAUCGGAAUUACUGGGCGUAAAGCGCACGCAGGCGGUCUGUCAAGUCGGAUGUGAAAUCCCCGGGCUCAACCUGGGAACUGCAUUCGAAACUGGCAGGCUAGAGUCUUGUAGAGGGGGGUAGAAUUCCAGGUGUAGCGGUGAAAUGCGUAGAGAUCUGGAGGAAUACCGGUGGCGAAGGCGGCCCCCUGGACAAAGACUGACGCUCAGGUGCGAAAGCGUGGGGAGCAAACAGGAUUAGAUACCCGAGUAGUCCC
rnacentral:rRNA from 1 species